rnacentral:rRNA from 1 species
UACGUAGGGUGCAAGCGUUGUCCGGAAUUAUUGGGCGUAAAGAGCUCGUAGGCGGUCUGUCGCGUCUGCUGUGAAAACUCGGGGCUUAACCCCGGGCCUGCAGUGGGUACGGGCAGACUAGAGUGCGGUAGGGGAGACUGGAAUUCCUGGUGUAGCGGUGAAAUGCGCAGAUAUCAGGAGGAACACCGGUGGCGAAGGCGGGUCUCUGGGCCGUAACUGACGCUGAGGAACGAAAGCAUGGGGAGCAAACAGG